CACUUACCUGAGCAGAAGGCACAUUUGGACGAGGCCUUGGACAUGACUCUGUUCAUUUGUGUCCUACUUUUGUCAAUUUGGGCAACAAAUUGUUUAAAUAUAAGCACAAGUAAUGGAUCUUCUACUGCAUGAGUUAGGCCUCUUAACUCCACGAAGGAAGAAAAAGUAGAAAAUUGUAGGAAGCCUUUACUCAAAGUCCUGCAUGGUCUUAUGAUGACAGCAUUUUUUGCUAUCCAUUUCUGCCUUAUCCAUUAUAAUUGCAUGAUUAAACCCAUCGAACAAAAACCGGUCAAAAAGGAAGGUGUAGAAGCCAAAUUAUGCUGGCCAGCUAUACUACCACUCAGCAAAUCCAAGACAAAAGAUUUGUGCCGUCCAGAAAAACAAACCUUGCUGCCUAAUGUAGAUGAUUUAUCUAGGCCUGCAAAUCCAGAAAUGUCACCCAUACCACCCAAUGCAGAAAAGUUAGUCAGACAAUCAAGUUCCAAAAAGUCAUCCAAGCCAAGCCUCAUAGACUUACUCAAAUCAUUUUACUUGGAAGAGUUACAUAGGAUAUACCUUCAAAAGACACACAAGAAGACACAUAAGCUAGCUGCACAAGUCAGUUCACCCUCUUCAGCUAAGCCAGCCAAGGUACCUUCGCAGGCUAGUCUACAGUCUCUAGGAAGGCCAGCUGAGUCACCUUAUCCUGAAAAUCAAAUCUUGGUCAAUAAUAUUUCUGAGGAAAAAGAUGAUGAUAUUCAGGUGGCUGGGUACCUUCCUGUUUCAAAUGAAAUGAUGUCUUUUGCCAGGUCCUUUCAUAAGGUAGAUUCCCAGGACCAUGAAUACUUUGCUAUUGUGAGUGACAAUUAUAAGGUUGAUGACAGUGAUGAAGACAGUGAUACAGAGAUAACCAUUAUUUGUAACAUCAUGAGCAAUGAUUUACUCCCUAAAGGCACCCCAAAUAACUAAGGGCUCAGUAAAAAUAAAAAUAAAAUCCAACUAUAAAGGAGUAAAUUUAUACCAACUAUUUUAUCCUUGCCAUCACCGAAAACUAAUAGAAAAUCUAAUUCUGAUAACUAUCAAGAUUGGACCUAUGCAUCUUUGAGGCAAUUUAUGUUUAAAAUCUCCAUUAAAUGCCUGAUACCACAAAUUAUUCCUCUGUUUAUCAUUGUAUUUUAGAGGUACAAAGCUUUCUGAUAUAUCUUAUAUACGGCCAUUUGAAUGGGAAACUUAAACAUACAUGCA
rnacentral:lncRNA from 1 species